AGAAUCAACGCUGGCGGCGUGCCUAACACAUGCAAGUCGAACGCGAAAGCCCCGCAAGGGGUAAGUAGAGUGGCAAACGGGUGAGUAACACGUGGGUGACCUGCCUUCGAGUGGGGGAUAACGUCCCGAAAGGGACGCUAAUACCGCAUGACAUCCUGCCUUUGGAAAGGCGGAGAUCAAAGCCGGGGAUCGCAAGACCUGGCGCUUGAAGAGGGGCCCGCGCCUGAUUAGCUAGUUGGUGGGGUAAUGGCUCACCAAGGCUACGAUC
rnacentral:rRNA from 1 species